CCUACUACACACUCACCCUCUUCUAUAUAUAGGAAUCAUGAAUCAUUGUAAUAGAAAUCAAUACAUCAAUCAAUAAUAUCAAUCAUCAAUACAUAUUUCAUUCUCUCUAUUUUUCCAUACAUCAAAUUUAACAUAGAUAGCCCUGUGAAUGUUGACUUUCUAAUUGUUGUGGGGUUGCAGUCAUCCUAAAUACUUGUGAUCAGUGGUGGAGCCAUGUUAGACCAGGAGGGGAUGUGCCAUUUUUGAAAAUCACAGUUUUAACUCUAGUUAAAAAAUGUUUUCAAUUUGUUCCAUUGAAGUUCCACCGCCUCUCUUCUUUACUUCUUUUCAACAAAAUCCUUGCAAUUUGUCACUUUAAAUGUUUAAUUUUGCUAAAAUCUUCUCUUACAAAUAUUAUAUUAUUUCUCUCCUCUCUCUUUUCUUUCUCUACCGCUCUCUUUCUCAUUUUGUGUGUGUGCGUGUGUGUGCAUCUUGAUAUAAUUCCGUUUUCAUCUUUUAUGGCACGUGAUUGCAUUUUAAAUUAUGAUGACGAUCAUGUUAAAAAACUAAAAUAGGAAAUCAAAUUAUUUAAAAAAAAUAAAAUAAAAAUCACCAAAAAUAAAAUUAAUUGGUUAACUCAAGCAUAGCUCUAAAUAUAACUUUGGUAUCGCGCUGAUUUUUAGUCAUCUUCCCACCAAAAGAAAAUUGAGUUUUGUUGGAUUGUGAUAGAUCUUGCUAAGGCUUCAACUCAAUGUUGCCUCACUGUGUGUGUAAUGCUGAUUGAUUAUUCAUUGUACUGGAAUCUUCAUUUGUUGGUCCAAGUCUUCCUGCACUGCCAAUGCAAAUCACUAUGCUGUUUAUUUUCAAUUUCCUCUUGAUAUUGUCCCCAGUCUGCCUAAGAAAUAUAGUACUAGUUCCUGGAAAUGCACAAUUGUGUUACAGUUCAAAUGGGAAAGAUAAGCCGGAUAGCCAAUUCACUUAUGCUUAUAUACGAGCUGGGCAAUGUCAAGUGCUUGGCUGCCUAAUCAAGGUUAAUAGAAAAGGCAAGUUUUAAGGUAGGGAUUGGGUUCAACACAUUUAUGUUGUUACUGAUCUGGAACAAGCUUCAUGUUGCAAGCUUAAGCUGCUUAUGAGCUGGCUGAUUGAGUUUGAGCUCAAUUUAGAACAUUAAUGAGCUCAAAACUAGGAUUGUGCUUGGUUUGUUUUACAAUUUAUGGGCAAUCUGAAAUAAGCCUCUGAUCAGGCAUAUCUCAAGUAGCUUGAUUUUUCCGAGGGUACUUUUGAAAGACUUUGAGAAGAGACUAUUGAAGCAAUCAGGAAAAUGAUAUGAAUUGCACUUUCAGAUGCCUCUGCAGGAAAAUGUUAAAUUGAAGAAUGUGUUUGGUGUGAUUUCUUGAAUUCCUGAAAUAACAGUAGAAUUCUGAAGAACUUAGUUCUGAUGCCGUAUAAAUCAUAAAGAACCACAACGUACUUAAAAAUCAUAUUCUCAAAUGCUGUAGAGAGACAAGUUCAAUUUAAUCAGAACUUUGAACACCUUAAGUUGCCACAUACCAUUUUUUGAUAGUGUUGAUUGGUGUGAUAAAGAUUGGUAUACAACACUGUGUCAUUGACUAUAGAUUCACAGAUAAAAGAAGCUCGUUGUUUGACUGAAAUAUGAGCGUUAUGACUUAUUUGUUUAUGUUUUUGUAUAAAUUAUUUAUUUCUUUUGUUGCAACUUGCAAGUCCAGACAGAUUUGUUUGUUUUUCUGUGAAAAGAUCCUUAGUGACAAUUGGUGAAGAAUCUCUCUCUCUCUCUCUUGCUGGGAUGACUGGGCUUCUAGAGAGCAACAGAAGAUUGAGAGCAGGCCAACAGACACUCUUUGAGUUUGAUGGGAAUGUGACACACAGUGUACACCCUUCACUUUCAGGCUUCUAAUGAGCAAUAGAAGAUUAGAGCAGGACCCCUGGAGAGCACAAAAAGACACUCUUUGAGUUUGAUGGGAAUGUGACACACAGUGUACACCAUUCACUUUCAGGUCGCUCUUUCCAUCUAAUUAGAACAUCAAGGAGAAAUUAUGUAGGAUUAUCAUAUAUGUGUAUAAUGACCAUGGUGUGAAAUUCUGGCAUGUUUGGUAUUGUUUUAUUUAUGGAAUUAAAGACAUGAAAAAUUCAAAAACAACCAUAAUUUUCAUUUUGCUUUUA